rnacentral:rRNA from 1 species
UAGGGAAUCUUCGGCAAUGGGGGGAACCCUGACCGAGCAACGCCGCGUGAGUGAAGAAGGUUUUCGGAUCGUAAAGCUCUGUUGUUAAGGAAGAACGAGUGUGAGAAUGGAAAGUUCAUGCUGUGACGGUACUUAACCAGAAAGGGACGGCUAACUACGUGCCAGCAGCCGCGGUAAUACGUAGGUGGCAAGCGUUGUCCGGAGUUAUUGGGCGUAAAGCGAGCGCAGGCGGUCAAUUAAGUCUGAUGUGAAAGCCCCCGGCUCAACCGGGGAGGGUCAUUGGAAACUGGUUGACUUGAGUGCAGAAGAGGAGAGUGGAAUUCCAUGUGUAGCGGUGAAAUGCGUAGAUAUAUGGAGGAACACCAGUGGCGAAGGCGACUCUCUGGUCUGUAACUGACGCUGAGGUUCGAAAGCGUGGGUAGCAAACAGG